CUCACUGUAUUAUUAAUCACCAGGUUAACCAGAGAUCGCCCUGGCGUCCGGAUCCUUUGUAAGCUGAUCACGUUAUGUCCGUCUGUGCUAAGACUGGAAGUGACUGAAAGAAAACGCAGAUUCAUUCUUUCAGCAAGGUGACCAAAAUCUGUUUCACUCUGCAGCACUUGUCCCGGAGGUUUUGUAGACAGAACUGGUAGUGACUGAAAGAAAACGGAGAUUCAUUCCUUCAGCAAGGUGACCAAAAUCUGUUUCGCUCUGCAGCACUUAUCCCGGAGGCUUUGUAGACAGAGUGACUGAACGAAAACCUAAAUGAGAAAUGCUGUGUACCUCAUCUUGAACUCUUUCACAUGGUGAUUCCUACACAUAAUUGCACGCUGUAUGUGUUUAGCUAUCCUAUCUUACAAAGACAUAUUGCCAACACUGUAUCUGCCUUUCCUCAAUACAAUGUAAAAAGUGCUGCAUAGACCAUUUAGAGAAGCAAUGUCUCGUGACUUUUACUGUAUGUUUAUUUUUGAUCAAGUGUCAUUUGUUUUGUAAAAUAUCUUUGCAGAUUUUCUUUUCGUGCCUGGACACUUUUUUCCUUUCAAAUAUUGCUUUGAAUUGAUGCAAAUUGAAGAACGUGAAUCCCUGGUAAUAAAGGAAGGUUGACCAGAAAAUAA